rnacentral:lncRNA from 1 species
ACCCCCUUUUAUUCAUUCAGCAGAAAUAAAGAGAGCAGCACCUUCUCCUCAACUUCUUUUCUCUGCUAGGUUUUCUACCUUCGCCCUUUUGAACUGUCACCAAACCAUCGUGAACCCGCCGUGGCUUCCAUCGUAAACGGUGGUUCAAAGCCUCAUGGAACCGGGUUUUUGGCACUUAUAAAGGGAGAUUCAAUGGUGAGGCCUCUCUAUACCGAAGAAAACAAAGGAGAAAGAACCCCCCACCUUCUCCUUGCAUCGAUUCUGACGACAGAAAAGAAAACUCCGGCGACGCAACCCCGGGGUGGAUCCAGUAAGACUCUCUUCUCCUCUCUUUUUUUUUUAAUUUUUUAUGCCCACUUUCGUUUAAUAGAUUUGUAAACAAAAAUAAAAAAGAAAUAAAAAAGAAACUAAAGAACAAAAUGAAAACCAAGAGAAUACGAUCGGAAAUCCACCUUUUCUUUGUGUUUUUUUCUUUUUUUUUUUUCUGAAAUCCUGCGUACAAGAAUGAGGAUCCCCCUUUUACGAUUUCUUUCGGCUUCUAUUUUUAGCCGAAAAAAAUGAGAUAGAAUCCAAAAUCCCCCCUUCCCCUCUUCCUGAUUUUCGGAUGGCUUUCUUAUAGCCAUCCCUUUUUUACAAAUUUUAUUAUUAUUUGUUGCUGUCUUUUCCCCUUUUUCUAUUUUGCACGUGCAAGUGGAGCAGGUGGAGGUGUGGGUGGUGACAAACUUUGGUGGCUAGUUUUUUUUAGUUUUUUUUUUGUGUGUUUGGGUUGGGCUAUUGUAUUGGGAUUAGGUUGGGUCAAAAUUGGGUUUGGGCUUGUAACUGGGUAAUGGGCUAGGUUUAAUUUGGGUUUGGUUUUAUUGGGCUCCGGGUAAAAUUUGGGCCUUACAAUGGUAAUUUUGCAUACAUAGGGGUAUUCAAGUAAUUUAACUAUUCUUACGGUUUUCAUACAUAACAUAGCCAUUUACGUACGAUCAGAAACACUUACUGCAUUUUCUUACCAAUUUUGGCCCGUUGGCCCAUUAUCCCAUUUUUGGCCCAUUAAGCCCAAAAAUAUCGAAAUGCACAGAAUCGCACACUCUGCAGUCUUAUCACUUUAAUUUACCAUAUACAUCAAACUAUUAAUCUUAUGAGCAUUCACACACUCGCAAGAUCUCAAAAUACCGGCUUUUCGGCAUUUCGGCAUUUCGGCUUGUGCCGAUCUAGUCUAUAAGAGGGUGUUAGUUACACACCUGUUUGCGACGAUAUGCUGGCGAGAUCCACACACGAACCGCCUACAAUUGGAUUACUAACACGUUAAUCUAACUAUUCAAAUACAAACUACGUAUUAACCCCUUAUAAUAUUCGGCCAACCACACCUACAGAUCAUAGUAAGCUUAUAAGAAAACAAUAAGCAACUCAUUAACAAAUUUUUGUCAAUGUUUACCACAUAAUCAUAAUUUCACUGCAAGCUGUCUUCCUGAGCAACAGUCACUAAAUUAUUUAUAACUGGAGCUACGGAACUCCAAAUCAAGUGCCGUUAAUUUUACCUGAAAAUAGACUCAUAUAUCUUCUAUCCAUAAAAUUUUCAGAAUUUUUGGUAUGGCCAAUCAAUACCAGAUUUUUCUUAAAGUUUCCCAUGUUUCACUGUUUGGCUAAUCUGACCACUCUUCAUUACGAAUCAAAUUUCUCAUUGUACAGAAUUCAAAAUAUGUUCUCGUUUAUUUCAUUUGAAACUAGACUCAUUAAGCUUUAAUUACAUAAUUUGUUCACCUUCUAACUCAUCUCUCACAAUUUAUGGUGAUUUUCCAAAAUCACAUUACUGCUGCUGUCCCAAGCAGAUUUAUUACCAAAUCACUCUUUCAUACAUAACUUGCAUGCAUGUUAUUUAAACAUGUAUAUCACCAAUCAAUCAUAACAUAUCUAUGAGUUUACUUAAGUAUAGUCUCCAUUUCAUCAUUUUAAAGCACAACAUGUUAGCUGAUUUUUCCCCUUAGCAUCUAAGGCACAUGCAUGCUCAUUUGUUUGGCUCAACUUCACCUAUCUUCCAUUUUUCAUCAAAAGAACAUGAAACAACAACCAUUUCCUUCAUUUUAAUUCAUGACCAAAUGCUCACAACACAACCAAAAACCAAAAUAUGCUUCAAGAGUUAAGGUAGAAUUAAGAAGAACUCAUGAACAUCAAGAUAGAGGCAAACUACCAUGAACUUACCUUCAAUUUUCUUCCCCAAGUGACCAAACAUUCAAGAGCUUUCUCCUCUCCUUUCUCUUCUCUAACUUUCAGCUAUGAUGAACAAAGAUGGACAAAACUUUGUUCUUUUCACCCCUUUUUCUUUUAAUAAAAUUUCAUAUUUCAUCCAUUUAAUUCUUUAAUACAAAAGACAUGAAAUGUCCAUCAUGGAACAUUUAACUAAACCAUUAUCAUGGAACAUUUACCUAACCCAUUAUCAUGGAAUAUUUACCUAAUCCAUUAUCAUGGAACAUUUACCUAACCCAUUAUCAAUUUGUACCAUGAAUUAUGGAUAUCAAGUGCUCAUAUUGUCUACAACAACAUGAUAGUUGGCCACUUCAUGUAAAAUGGGAGGUUUGUCAUGCAAAUCCUCCUAUUUUGCACUCCUAUUUAUUUGGCUACUUCAAUUUAGCCUAUAGCAUUUUCAAACAUUUUCACAUAGGUUCUAUUUCAUAAUUUCACCCCCUUUUUCUUAUGGAACAAAAAUUAACUAAAAUUACCGGGUUCUAUCUUAAGCUUGGGCCUUCUAGAGGCCCACUAACAUAAUUAAACCUAUGCCAACAUUCACAGAAUUCCCGAAAAUUGGGGCGUUACACCCAUUAUCUCUUUCACUAGAUGUAAGAUAAAAACAAAAUCAAAAGAUGUAAUCUUCUUAUAUGUUAUAGCUGCACCUCCGCGGAUAGAAUAAUUAGAGCCACUUUUAAUAAUAUUUUCUAGAACAGAACAAGUAGUAUCAAACAUCCUUUUCAAGCUACAAAUAGAACUAAAAUGAGAACUCUAAUGAGUUUCUCCAACUCGUUUCAUAGUGCCAACUUGGUUAAGUCCUUUACCAGUUUCAAGUUCAUCAAUUGCCAACAUAUUUGCAAUUUCAAUUGCUUGGGCAACUUGUAAUUGAUCAUGGCAUUUGCAAGCGGCACUAAUUAUAAACAAUAAAGUUCAAAUUAGAGAAAAAAAUUAUGAAUAAGAAUUACCUCUCGAGAAGCAACAAGUAAUGCCAACUAGAGUUGAUGCGCCAAGCAAUAAACAUAAUAUGCAUAGGCACAAUCAUUUAAAAACAAUGCUUGCAAACCGUUCCAUACACCCCGUAUGUUGUUAGCACCAUUAUAUCCUUGACCUCGAAUAUUUUAAACAUCAAGACAAUGCCGAGAAAGAAUAACACAUAUUUCCUCUUUCAAAGUUAUUGUUGUACUAUCUUGCACAUGUACAAGAUCAAAGAAAUUAUAUUUUAUAAAUCUUUCCUGAUCAACAUAUCUCAAAGCAAUAGUUAUUUUCUCCCUUUUAGAUUCAUCAAGUGCCUCAUCAAUAAUGAUACAAAAUUUAGAAUCUCUAAUGUCUUCACGAAUCUUAUGACGCACUUUAUUUGCAAUAAUAUGUAAAAUCUCCUUUUGGUUCAUAUGAGAAGUAUAUUUAGCAUUUCUUGGAGUAUUUUCCAAAAUAACUUUGGAAAAUUUAUCAUUAUAGGAAGCUAACAAUGUAACCAAUUCAAGAAAAUUACCUUGAUUUCUUGAAUUAAAGGUUUCAUCAUGACCCCUUAAAGCAUAUUCUUGCUAAGUUAACCAUCAAACAACAUCAAUUAAAGUCUUGACUCGUAAGUAGCUACCUUCUUUUUUAUCUAAACUUUGUGCAUUAAUAACCUUUCCAAUGUGCUGAGAUUAAUUUAACAAAUCUUGACAACUUUUCUCAGUGUUAUUAUGUGGAGAGCGUGGAUCUUGGCCAACAUUAAGCACAUCUAUUUCCAUCAUUAACUCUUUUUCCAAUUAUUAAAACCUUUUAACAGUGAAUGCAUCCAUUCCAUGAAGAACAAUAUGUUUUGAGAAAAUAUAGCAUGAGAAAAAAUAUGUUGCAUCUUUAGUAGGGAUAUUCCAACCGAAGAAAUUUGCAAAACCAAAAAGACUGAAAUCUUCGGGGAUACUUGUCACUAGAAAGUGGGUACUCAGACAAAUGUAUUUGAUAUGACCCCAUUUUUAAAUAUGCUCGAUUGACUUCAUCUCAUUAAUUAACAAGAUAUUCACAUAUUUAAGGACAUAAUCCUAAAUUCCUCUCUAGAUUAUUAAUAUCAAAAGAAAGAUUUGGAUGAUCUUCACUUUCAAAUCUUGAGCAUUUAGAAGUAUUAACUUCGAUAGUUGGAGAAUCUUCAUUGUUCACUGGUUGACUCGCAUCACAAUUAUCACUACUUUUCCUCUUAAAAGAAGUAUCAAUCGUCUUUACCUUAUUCAUUUUUUGCAAUCGUCCUAAAAUUUAAUUUUAUAAAAUUAUAAAAAAGUAAAAUGAUUAUAGCAUCCAUUUCCAUUUUCAUAUCAUUCUCAUUUCAUAUUCAAAUCAUAAAUUGCAUAAUAUAAAAUUUUUAUUUUUAAUCAAACAAACUCAUAAUUGUGCUUGUUCAACCACUUGAAAUCAUAAUAUUCAAAUUCAACUUAAAAUUAAAAAUUUACUAAUUUUAUAAUUGAAAUCAUAGAUUUCAAUUCGAAACAUUAUCUUUUAAAUACUAAUUAAACCAUUCAAAAUUCAUAAAAAUAAAAAUAAUAUAGCUAGAUAUAGUAAAUCAACACUAAUGACAAAUUUGAAUAUACAUGGUUUAUUAAGUUGACAACUUAAGUUUCCUUAUUUGUAGUUCACAUAACUUUCGAUUCGGUUAACCAUUUUUUAUUCCAUUUUCACCAGAAUGCUCACUGCUUCACAACCUAUCAUUUGACAUAAUUUUAAACAAAGUGACCAAUGUUUUCUUCCUCCCCUUCACUUUGGCUGAAACUUACUAUAACAUUAUCUAGCUAUUUUUAUUUCAUUUUUACACUUCUAACAAGUUAGAAACCAUCUCCUAAUCAUUUUCCACCAAAAAAACAUACAUAUUUCACUUAAUUUUAUAAGUUUCUAUCAAUAACCUUUAAGUGCAACUUUUAAUACACUUGAUAAAAUAAAACUAUUUGUACAUAUAUGUAAAACAAGCUUCAAAGAUUCAAAACCUAUGAAAAGUUAGAAGAAAAACUGUAACACCCUAAAUUUUUGGGGUUAGAAGUUUUAAGUUUAGUGGUUAGGGUCAGAGAGUAGGUUGUGCUAUUGUGUUUACUCGCGUGUUUAAGUGUUAGAAUGGGCCUGCUGAUAUGGUGGUUGAGUGAGUGUUAGUGAACCUUUGGGUUUUGCGUUCGAGUCUUGUGUGUGUAUUUUGGAGAAACAUUUUAUUUUGUUUUGUUUUGUUAAGUAGCAGGUUUGUUUUAAGUUAAUUUAUAAAACUAUUAUUAUUACUUUUUAGUUAUUUUUAUUAUUUUUGUUGGGUUUCUGGAUGUUCUUCAUUUUCUUUUCUUUUGCUUCUUCUUUAUUUUCCUUUGAAAAAGGAUCUUACAUGUGGAUUUUCAAAGAGGUUUUGAUUUCCUGGUCGUCGAGUCGAGUUUUGGACGUUUCUGAUCGCGAAUCAGGUGUGGGAAUGGAAACUCUUUUAUUUUUAUUUGCAAAAUUGUUGAUUUGUUAUGGAAUUCGAUGAUCUUUUUGUGAGUUUGGUAGUUGGGCAAGUUAGGCUCGUGUUGUUUGUAAUUUUCUGAAAUGUAGUGCGUUAUGGUUGGUUUUUGAAGUGACAUAUGAUCGUAAAACUUGAUUUUCAGGCUGAUUGUGUGUGCUUUUGUGGCCACACGGGUGUGUGCUAGUUCACACGGCCAUGGAAUUAGGGUUUUCGUGAAAAAUUUGAUGCCAUACGGCCGUAUGGCCGGUUUGGGGAUUUUUGUCGAUUUCCACAUGGCCGUGUCCCUUGGGUACAUGGGCGUAUGUGAUUGGGAAUUAGGGAUUCAGUGAUUUGGUGCCAUACGGCCGUGUGGCUAAUUUGGGAAUUUAGGGGUCCUACACAGGCGUGUGUUUUGGAUACACGGUCGUGUUUGGUGGGCACACGGGCGUGUGAGACCCUCAUACGCCUGUGUCUGCCCUAUACCAUAUUUUAGCACAUUUUGGACAGUGUGUUACACAGCUUGUUCACACGGCCGUGUCCCUGUUUCACAAGGGCGUGUGCCUCCCUCCACAUAGACGUUUUAACCCUCACAUGGCCUAGGUUUUUCCACAUGGCCGUGUGGCUCUAAGUCACUUAUUUUGGUUUUGUGUGUGUUUUUUAUCUGAGAAUGUGUCUGUGUGUUUCAGCUUUGGUUGAUCUUUAGACAGGGUGGCUAAGAAUUCUAUUCUGGGCUUCGGCUUAUGUGUUUUCUGUGAUUUUUAUGUGAGAUGUUUGAUUCUGAAUCUAAUCUGUUAGGUGUGUGUGCAUAUCUGCUUCUGUCUGAUUGUCGAUUGUCGUGUUUAUUGUUUCUGUGGGAUCGAAUGCAUUCAUGCACUUGCAUAAAGUAUUUUAGAUUGGUUGUGAAGAGAAGGAAGACUGAUUCUAUUCUGAUCUGUCAUUUUAACUGCAAGCUUAUUUGUACAGCAGUUUUCCGUAUUGUACCGCAGUACAUCAGCUUUACUGCGUACCAUUAUCUGAACUGGUAGUUUAAACUACAUCAUGACUGUACAGCUGAUUACCGUAUUGCACUGUAUUGCAUAUACGUCAUCUCUGUUGCGUAUUGAUACCUAAGUGGCUUAGUCCACAAACAUGGUGUGUAGGGUUGGAUGGGCCUUUUGAGGUCCCAUGUGGUGUGUUUCAGUUGGAUGAGCUUAAUAAGCUUUUAUGGGGUGUAACCGAGGGACGGAGAGGUGUGUUGGCUGGAUGGGUGGGUUUUAUUACUUGACUGUAUUUCAUAUGCAUCUGUUUGAAAGUUUUGGGUGCAAGACCAUCUAACUGUAAUCUGUUGACUGUGAGUGACUUGGUAUGUUUGAGUUGUUAUGUUUUGUUGGGACAUUAGUUCCAAGUUUACUUUUUGUCUCUGUGAAUAUCUGUAAGUCUGUUGCGUUAUUGAAUUAAAUUCCAUAAUUUUGUUCUUAGCCUCGAUUCAAACUCACAUUGAGUUCACGUAGCUCACCCCCUUAGUGUUUCCCCUUGCAGGUACGUUUCUGAAACUCUGACACUGGACUCGGUGAGCAGGGGUCUUGGAUAGUCUCAGUUGAAAAUAAUUUAUCAGUUGUCUUUUCAGUUUUCAUUUUGAUUUACUGUUUAGAUAAGUAGGGAUUUAUAAAAACU